rnacentral:lncRNA from 1 species
UAACAUUUAAUUAAAAUAAUUAAAUAAUUUUAUUAUUCCAAUUAAAAAUGUCAUGUUUAUACGAUAGACAAUAUUCAUGAAUGGGAAGUAUUAGUUACAUAUUUUUCCUUGGGAUUUCAGGCAAAUGAAAAAAAGAUUGAGAAUGAUUUCAAGAGGACAGGUGGAUGAUAAGUAUUCAUUUUUGUAUAUUUGGCUAGUGGAUUUUUAUGGUAUUGAUCUUUUUAAAAAAAAAAAAAAAAUUCAAUUAGUUGCAGCCCUAGAGGAAGAGCAGGCUGAUCAAAUUGAUUUGUCUUGUUUUUCGGGCAAUCUACGACACGAUGACUGUGAUAAUGCUCGUGACUGCUGGAAACUUUCACUUAGAAAUUAUGAGGAAAAAGUAGUAUCCUUCUUAUUUACAAUCAGUACAAGGAUCCCUUUUAAAUAGAGCAAUUAUAACAGAAAAGGAAACUAAUUAAGAGCUAAUAUUUGACAGCUAUCAUCUAUAUUUACAUAGGAAAGGAUCCUAAAAUAUCUCUAGGAUUAAGGCUAAAAUCAAGGCCUAAUUUCCAACAAAAGAUUAAUCCUUCACUACUAUAUAACCCUCUUCAGCAGUUGAAAGUGUUGUUCCUCAUUAUCCUUCAAAACAACAAAAAAUCGUAUCUUACUACCUCAUUUUGAAGGUAAAAUAGCAAGACAAAAUAUAUUCCUUAGAUAUUCAACUCCCAAUCAGGAAUUCCCACAUUUAUUAAACAAAUAUGUCAGCCAUAGAAGCAUCAAUACAGUGGAACUCAAAGCUUUAACGAAUGCUUCCCUAAGUCUGAAUGAUGCUUACAUACAGUCGUUCAACAAUAACAUUUAAAUUUCAAUCAACGGUAUCACUAACCUCGGGUGGAUGCACUAUCACUUCGAGAUCAUCUUCUCCUCCUAGUGAGCAUUCGGGCCUCCUAAACGUCAGGAGAGAAGCCAAAGCAGCAAUAUUGGCAGCAUCAACAAGAUUUCUGUUCCCACACAAUGAUUAAAAAUUAACAAGAACACGACAUUUAACAUUGGUUAAAUAAAAUAACAAUACAAAUGCGCACACAAAACAUAUGGACAGUGGCAGGCCUAUGCCCGGUCUACCACUGGAAAAUUUGGCUUAUACCCCUUAACUUCUGCGGGAAAACAUUUAAUGGAUCUUGUUGCUGUUGAUUGGUUCCAAGACACAAAGAGAAUGGACCAUGUAGCUAGGCGUCAAGGCUGUGCUGCGCAAGUAACUAUUCUUUUAUUAUUUUUCCUUUUCCAUUGAUGCAUUAGGAGAAAAUACUGCCUGUGAGAUACUACAAUAUUAUGGUAUUGAUCUUUUUCUUUUUUUAAAAAAAUUUUCAAUUAGUUGCAGCCCUAGAGGAAGAGCAGGCUGAUCAAAUUGAUUUGUCUUGUUUUUCGGGCAAUCUACGACACGAUGACCGUGAUAAUGCUCGUGACUGCUGGAAACUUUCUGAUGGAAAUAACUUUAGAGUUCGUAGCAAGCAUUUUUGUUAUGACAAAACA